rnacentral:rRNA from 1 species
AUACGGAGGAUCCGAGCGUUAUCCGGAUUUAUUGGGUUUAAAGGGUGCGCAGGCGGCCAUUUAAGUCAGCGGUUAAAUCGUGGGGCUCAACCCCAUUCUGCCGUUGAUACUGGGUGGCUUGAUUGCGGUCGAGGUUGGCGGAAUUCGUUGUGUAGCGGUGAAAUGCAUAGAUAUGACGAAGAACACCGAUUGCGUAGGCAGCUGGCCAGACCGCAAAUGACGCUCAUGCACGAAAGUGCGGGGAUCGAACAGGAUUAGAUACCCUGGUAGUCCGCACAGUAAACGAUGAAUACUUGUUUUCGGCGAUAUAAUGUCGGAGGCAAAGCGAAAGCGAUAAGUAUUCCACCUGGGGAGUACGCCGGCAACGGUGAAACUUAAAGGAAUUGACGGGG